rnacentral:rRNA from 1 species
GACGAACGCUGGCGGCGUGCUUAACACAUGCCAGUCGAACGGAAAGGCCCUGCUUUUGUGGGGUGCUCGAGUGGCGAACGGGUGAGUAACACGUGAGUAACCUGCCCUUGACUUUGGGAUAACUUCAGGAAACUGGGGCUAAUACCGGAUAGGAGCUCCUGCUGCAUGGUGGGGGUUGGAAAGUUUCGGCGGUUGGGGAUGGACUCGCGGCUUAUCAGCUUGUUGGUGGGGCAGUGGCUUACCAAGGCUUUGACGGGUAGCCGGCCUGAGAGGGUGACCGGCCACAUUGGGACUGAGAUACGGCCCAGACUCCUACGGGAGGCAGCAGUGGGGAAUAUUGCACAAUGGGCGGAAGCCUGAUGCAGCAACGCCGCGUGCGGGAUGACGGCCUUCGGGUUGUAAACCGCUUUCGCCUGUGACGAAGCGUGAGUGACGGUAAUGGGUAAAGAAGCACCGGCUAACUACGUG